rnacentral:rRNA from 1 species
CACGUAGGGGGCUAGCGUUGUCCGGAAUCAUUGGGCGUAAAGCGCGUGUAGGCGGUCCGGUAAGUCCGCUGUGAAAGUCGGGGGCUCAACCCUCGGAUGCCGGUGGAUACUGUCGGGCUUGAGUACGGAAGAGGCGAGUGGAAUUCCUGGUGUAGCGGUGAAAUGCGCAGAUAUCAGGAGGAACACCAAUUGCGAAGGCAGCUCGCUGGGACGUUACUGACGCUGAGACGCGAAAGCGUGGGGAGCAAACAGG